rnacentral:rRNA from 1 species
CCUACGGGUGGCAGCAGUGAGGAAUAUUGGUCAAUGGGCGCGAGCCUGAACCAGCCAAGUCGCGUGAAGGAUGACUGCCCUACGGGUUGUAACCUUCUUUUAUAGAGGAAUAAAGUGAGGCACGUGUGCCUUUUUGUAUGUACUUUAUGAAUAAGGAUCGGCUAACUCCGUGCCGGCUGCCGCGGUAAUACGGAGGAUCCGAGCGUUGUACGGAUUUAUUGGGUUUAAAGGGAGCGUAGAUGGGUUGUUAAGUCAGUUGUGAAAGUUUGCGGCUCAACCGUAAAAUUGCAAUUGAUACUGGCAGCCUUGAGUACAGUUGAGGUAGGCGGAAUUCGUGGUGUAGCGGUGAAAUGCUUAGAUAUCACGAAGAACUCCGAUGGCGAAGGCAGCUUACUAAACUGCCACUGACAUUGAUGCUCGAAAGUGUGGGUAUCAAACAGGAUUAGAUACCCCGGUAGUC